rnacentral:lncRNA from 12 species
GGGCGCCCCGUGGGCGGGAAGGGGAGACAGACAGCACUGAGUGAGGGGCGCGCCGGGGUCACGCCGCCCCCCCCACCGCCACCCCCAAGUCCGGGGUGGGUUCCUGCCCCAGGGACUCGGGACGCCCACCUCCUCCGCCUGCCCCGCCCAGAGCCGGCCCAGCCCAGCCCCGGCCGCCCGCCCGGGAUCCCGGCCCGGGCCCUCUCCCCAGCGCUGGGCCCCGGCUCCGCCCCUCGCCGGAAUGAGGGGCCGCUGCCCGCGCCCCGGGCUUCUCCCGGUCAGGCCGGGGGCCGAGUCGGGGCGUUCGGAGCCGACAUCCUCGCCGGGGGGAGGCGGCGCGCUCGCCCUGAACGCCGGCUCUAUCCUGGCGGUGGAGGAAGGCAGGGCGGCCUCGGGUGGGGACCGCAGCCCCGCUCGGCGGCUCCGGCGGCCCGGGCCCCUCGGCCCGGCCCCCCCACCCCUCCCGCGGCUCUCACCCCCACGCUCCCUAAUCCAAUUUGCAACUUGGCCGCGCGCCGCCCUCGGCUCGGCCCCCACCCCCGCAGCCCCAAUUCCAGAGGCGGGAGGAUAGUCUCUUCUAGCCGUGGCGUCCCCAGCUCCCGGAGCCAGCGCGGGGCGGCGAGGACCGAGGAACCCGGGCGUGGGGAGGAGGUCGAGAGGAGCGAGCCCCGACCGUCUCCCCUGCGGUCAGGGACCCCUUUGCCCCCUUCGAACUGCCUCCCUCCUUCGCCACUCUUCGGAUCUCGUUGUAUUUCGGGGUUGAUGCGGGGGGGAAUCAAAUUUGUUUGCUUUUCUUUUUUUCUUUUUCUUUUCUUUUUCUUUUUUUUUUUUUCUUUUUUUUUUUGGUGUAGAGGAAAGGUCGCAGGUUCCUCCGGGACAACCAUGGCGGGGGUCCCUCAUCUCAGCCCCUUCACUCCCCCCCUCCAUGAUCCUGCUUUUCUCCCCAAACCCAUCGGAGGCAGAGACGCCUCCCUCCGCAGCCCCCUGAGCUGCAGCCCCUAG